rnacentral:rRNA from 1 species
CAGCCGCCGCGGGAAUACGAAGGGUGCAAGCGUUACUCGGAAUUACUGGGCGUAAAGCGUGUGUAGGUGGUUGUUUAAGCCUGUCGUGAAAGCCCUGGGCUCAACCUGGGAAUUGCGAUGGAUACUGGGCGACUAGAGUGCGGUAGAGGAUAGUGGAAUUUCCGGUGUAGCAGUGAAAUGCGUAGAGAUCGGAAGGAACAUCUGUGGCGAAGGCGACUAUCUGGGCCAACACUGACACUGAGGCACGAAAGCGUGGGGAGCAAACAGGAUUAGAUACCCCAGUAGUCCCUGUCUCUUAUAC